CAAGUCGAACGGAUUUACUCUUGUAGCAAUACAAGGGUGAGUCAGUGGCGCAAGGGUGCGUAACACGUGGGCAACCUGCCCUGGAGUUCGGGAUAGCCCGCCGAAAGGCGGAUUAAUACCGGAUGUGGCUACCGGAGGAUUCUUCGGGACGCUAAAGGUGGCGCAAGCUACCGCUCCUGGAUGGGCCCGCGGCCUAUCAGCUAGUUGGUGAGGUAACGGCUCACCAAGGCGAUGACGGGUAGCUGGUCUGAGAGGACGACCAGCCACACUGGAACUGAGACACGGUCCAGACACCUACGGGUGGCAGCAGUCGAGAAUUUUUCUCAAUGGGGGAAACCCUGAAGGAGCGACGCCGCGUGGAGGAUGAAGGUCUUCGGAUUGUAAACUCCUGUCAUUGGUGAACAAGAUUCCUGCGUUAACUGCGCGGGGGUUUGAUAGUAGCCGAAGAGGAAGGGACGGCUAACUCUGUGCCAGCAGCCGCGGUAAUACAGAGGUCCCGAGCGUUAUUCGGAUUCAUUGGGCGUAAAGGGUGCGUAGGCGGCGGGGAAAGUCUGAUGUGAAAUCCUGGGGCUCAACCCUGGAACUGCAUUGGAUACUUCCUUGCUAGAGUACUGGAGAGGAAACUGGAAUUUACGGUGUAGCAGUGAAAUGCGUAGAGAUCGUAAGGAAGACCAGUGGCGAAGGCGAGUUUCUGGACAGUUACUGACGCUGAGGCACGAAGGCCAGGGGAGCAAACGGGAUUAGAUACCCCGGUAGUCCUGGCAGUAAACGGUGCGCGUUUGGUGUGGGAGGAAUCGACCCCUUCCGUGCCGGAGCUAACGCGUUAAAC
rnacentral:rRNA from 1 species